GUGCUGGGGAGCUGCUUACACAUGCAGUCGAGCGGAAGGCCUUGAUGCUUGCACAAGGUACUCGAGUGGCGAACGGGUGAGUAACACGUGGGUGAUCUGCCCUGCACUGUGGGAUAAGCCUGGGAAACUGGGUCUAAUACCAUAUAGGACCGCAUCUUGGAUGGUGUGGUGGAAAGCUUUUGCGGUGUGGGAUGAGCCUGCGGCCUAUCAGCUUGUUGGUGGGGUAAUGGCCUACCAAGGCGGCGACGGGUAUCCGGCCUGAGAGGGUGUACGGACACAUUGGGACUGAGAUACGGCCCAGACUCCUACGGGAGGCAGCAGUGGGGAAUAUUGCACAAUGGGCGCAAGCCUGAUGCAGCGACGCCGCGUGGGGGAUGAAGGCCUUCGGGUUGUAAACUCCUUUCGCUAUCGACGAAGCCACUUUUGGUGACGGGAGGUUGAUUAUAAGUUGCCGGUAACUAACUUGCAACAGCCGCGGUAAUACGUAAGGUGCCAGCCUUUGCCGGAAUUACUGGGCGUAAAGAACUCGUAAGUUGUUUGUCCCGUCCUCUGUUAAAUUCCGGGGCUUAACUUCCGGCAUGCCAGCCAUUCCGGCCUUACUUUAAUGCUGGAAGGGAAAAUGGAAUUCCUGGUGUAACGGUGAAAUUGCCCCAUUCAAGAGGAACACCGAUUGCAAAAGGAGGUCUCCGGGGAGUUACUGGACCUUAUGAACGAAAGCAUUGGUUGCGGACCGGAUUAAAUACCCUGGUAAUCCAUGACCUAAACCGGGGCCCUAAGUGUAAGGGGCCUCCUCGUCUUCUGUGGCGGAACUAACGCAUUUAGCGCCCCGCCUGGGGAGUACAGCCUCUAGGCUAAACUCUAAGGAAUUGACGGUGACCCCCCAAGCGGCGGAGCAUGUUGAUUAAUUCAAUGCACCCCAAGAAACCUUACAUGGGUUGACUAUUCUUGAUCGGGCUAGGAAAAGGCUUUCCCUUGGGGCAGGAUACCUGAGGCGAUUGUUGUCUUCAGUCCGUGCCCUUGAAUGUUGGAUUAAUUCCCCUACCAAGGUGUCCUUUGCCUUUUGUUGCCAGCCCAUUUGAUUGGAAAACCCUGAAAAACCUCCGUGGUAUACUGA
rnacentral:rRNA from 1 species